UAUGCUAGGAAUAUGCUAUAUGGAAGGUCUAUAAAUACCACCAUACCAUAACUCCAUCAUUCCACACUCAACACUACACUCCAUCUCCUCCCUCCUUCCCCAAAUCGGCAGCCAUCAACCACCACCCUACCACCAUCAUUCGACCUUGUUCCAUCCAUUCUAUUACCAUACAAGGGUGCAAGGAGACACACAACGAAGCUUGGUGCGUUCGGAAGUCGAAGGACCGCUCUUGUUUUCUUUUAUCCACCACUUUUCUACACUCGAACACCCCUAGCCUUGUGCUAGUAGGCGGAUAAACAAUUUGAGGGAUUGUGUUAACAUUUAAAAAUGCACCCGAAGGUGAAGUUGCUUAGUCUUGAUUGCGAAUAGGAAGCAUGCUCACUUAGGACCGGACGAGGCCUUAGUGGUUUAAUAAUGAUAUUAGUCUAUGUUUGAUUUGCUUGUUUAACUUUAAAACCAUGUUUAAUAUUUAAUGAAAUGAAACUCUUCGUAUCCAUGGUUUGAAACAAUAAUUCUGUUACAACACUCCCCGGCGUUUCCGCCACGAUUUGUCGUUUUACGUGGUCGGGGUGUGACAGAAGAGUUGGUAUCAGAGC
rnacentral:lncRNA from 1 species